rnacentral:misc_RNA from 1 species
GAUGAAGAACGUAGCGAAAUGCGAUACUUGGUGUGAAUUGCAGAAUCCCGUGAACCAUCGAGUCUUUGAACGCAAGUUGCGCCCGAAGCCAUUAGGCCGAGGGCACGCCUGCCUGGGCGUCACACGUCGUUGCCCCCCCAUCUACUCCUUCGGGAUUGCGGGGGGCGGAUGAUGGCCUCCCGUGCGCCUCGCCGCGCGGUUGGCAUAAAUGCCAAGUCCUCGGCGACGCACGCCACGACAAUCGGUGGUUGCGAAACCUCGGUUGCCCGUCGUGUGCGGUCGUCGCGCAUCGAGGGCUCGAAAAAAUUGCCGGGCUCCGGCUCGACUUUCAACGCGACCCCAGGUCAGGCGGGGUUACCCGCUGAAUUUAAGCAUAUCAAUAAGCGGAGGA